rnacentral:lncRNA from 1 species
CGGGGAGGUGGCACCAUGAAGCGCUGCUGGCUGAUCUGAGCUGCUGUUGUGGUGUGGUGUUGUGUUGUUGUGUUGUUGUGUUGUGGUAUUGUGUUGUGUUGUUGUGUUGUGUUGUUGUGUUGUUGUGUUGUGAUGUUGUUGUGGUAUUGUGUUGUGUUGUGGUGUUGUGCUGUUGUGUUGUAGUGUUGUGGUAUUGUGUUGUGUUGUUGUGUUGUGUUGUUGUGUUGUUGCUCUGUUGUGUUAUUGUGUUGUGUUGUUGUGUUGUGUUGUUGUGUUGUGUUGUUGUGUUGUGUGGUUGUGUUGUGGUGUUCUGACAUUGCAGCGUUGUGAUGUUCUGUUGUGGUGUUGUUGUGUUGGUGUUGUGUUGUGUGUUAUGUUGUGUUAUGUUGUGUGUUGUGUUAUGUUGUGUUG